UUGGGUUUAAGUCCCCGUAACGAGCGCAACCCUUUAUCCUUAUUUGCAAGUACAUAAUGGUGGGAACUAUAAGGAGACUGCCGGUGAUAAACCGGAGGAAGGCGGGGACGACGUCAAGUCAUCAUGGCCCUUACGACCAGGGCUACACACGUGCUACAAUGGGAAGGACAAAGGGUCGCUAAGCCGUGAGGUGGUGCUAAUCUCACAAAUCUUUUCGUAGUCCGGAUCGGAGUCUGCAACUCGACUCCGUGAAGUCGGAAUCGCUAGUAAUCGUAGAUCAGAAUGCUACGGUGAAUACGUUCCCGGGUCUUGCACACACCGCCCGU
rnacentral:rRNA from 1 species